rnacentral:rRNA from 1 species
AUUGAACGCUGGCGGCAUGCCUAACACAUGCAAGUCGAACGGGGCAGCAAUGCCUAGUGGCGGACGGGUGAGGAAUACGUAGGAAUCUGCCCUUAAGUGGGGGAUAACCAGGGGAAACCCUGACUAAUACCGCAUGAUCUCUUCGGAGCAAAGAGGGGGACCGCAAGGCCUCUCGCUUCUGGAUGAGCCUACGUCUGAUUAGCUAGUUGGUAGGGUAAAGGCCUACCAAGCCAACGAUCUGUAGCUGGUCUGAGAGGACGACCAGCUACACUGGGACUGAGACACGGCCCAGACUCCUACGGGAGGCAGCAGUGGGGAAUUUUGGACAAUGGGCGCAAGCCUGAUCCAGCCAUGCCGCGUGCGGGAAGAAGGCCUUCGGGUUGUAAACCGCUUUUGUCGGGGAAGAAAUCUUCUGGGCUAAUACCCCGGGAGGAUGACGGUACCCGAAGAAUAAGCACCGGCUAACUACGUGCCAGCAGCCGCCGUAAUAC